rnacentral:tRNA from 1 species
GGUUGUGGCUCAGCGGUAGAGCGCUCACCUAGCACCUCCGAGGCCCUGGGUUCGAUCCUCAGGACCA